rnacentral:rRNA from 1 species
CCCUUAGAUGUUCUGGGCAGCACGCGCGCUACAAUGGUCUUCGCAAACGGAUGCAUUCUCGAAGGAGAAGGCCAAUCUUGGAAUCUAUGCCUUGGUCGGGACAGUUGCUUGCAAUUUUUCGACUCGAACCAGGAAUUCCUUGUAAUCGUGAUUCAUCACAUCACGAUGAAUACGUCCCUGCCCUUUGUACACACCGCCCGUCGCUCCUACCGAUCGAAGAGUUAGGUGAAUUGUUUUGAUCGAUAAGAUUUGACUAUGGUCAACUCUCGUUGUGAAAUUCUGUGAAUCUGACUGUUUAGAGGAAGGAAAAGUCGUAACA